rnacentral:lncRNA from 10 species
GACUUGCUUUGCCAAUCUUGUUGCAGCUCAUCAAUUCUUGGCAGCCCCACCCCUCCCAGCUGGGCCCAGGACGCACAGUAGGUCCUCAGCGCACACCCAUGGGACUGAGUUGGUGAAUGUAGCCUGGCUCUUGUCCUGAUUAUCUGGGUGACUUCAGGUGACAACACUGAGGUCUGGUGACUCACCCAGGGUCAUGCAGCCUGUGAGUGGCAGAGUGAGCCGGGAACCUGGCUGCUGGCUGAGAAAUUUCAGGGCUUCUUCUUUGAGUGCCCAGCAGGAUUGCAGCACCACAUGGCUCUGGGGCUCUCCCACUGGCCAGUCUGGGCUGAAGGGAAUGAAGUGAAGAGAGGGAGUUUCCCCUAAAGAUCUGACAAAUGCCAAGGACUUUGCCUACGCUGGAUGUGUAGCCGAAGACUGUCCCAGGCUGCUCAGAGGGGCGGAAGCAAACUCGCUGCAUCUCCAGAAGCCCCUCAGAGGUCA